AAAUUUGUUACGAAACGCAAGCGGGACUCUUAAUCCGUAGGUCGAGUGUUCGAGUCACUCACGCCCCACCA
rnacentral:tRNA from 2 species